rnacentral:rRNA from 1 species
UAAGGCUGAGACACGACGUCGAGCAUCUACGGAUGUGAAGUCAUUGAUGCCAUGCUUCCAGGAAAAGCCUCUAAGCUUCAGAUUGUAAGGAAUCGUACCCCAAACCGACACAGGUGGUCGGGUAGAGAAUACCAAGGCGCUUGAGAGAACUCGGGUGAAGGAACUAGGCAAAAUGGUACCGUAACUUCGGGAGAAGGUACGCUCUCGACGGUGAAGUCCCUCGCGGAUGGAGCUAUUGAGAGUCGCAGAUACCAGGUGGCUGCAACUGUUUAUUAAAAACACAGCACUGUGCAAAAUCGCAAGAUGACGUAUACGGUGUGACGCCUGCCCGGUGCCGGAAGGUUAAUUGAUGGGGUUAGACUUCGGUCGAAGCUCUUGAUCGAAGCCCCGGUAAACGGCGGCCGUAACUAUAACGGUCCUAAGGUAGCGAAAUUCCUUGUCGGGUAAGUUCCGACCUGCACGAAUGGCGUAAUGAUGGCCACGCUGUCUCCACCCGAGACUCAGUGAAAUUGAAAUCGCUGUGAAGAUGCAGUGUACCCGCGGCUAGACGGAAAGACCCCGUGAACCUUUACUACAGCUUGGCACUGAACAUUGACCCUACAUGUGUAGGAUAGGUGGGAGGCUUUGAAGCGCAGUCGCUAGAUUGCGUGGAGCCGUCCUUGAAAUACCACCCUUGUAGUGUUGAUGUUCUAACGUCGACCCCUUAUCGGGGUUGCGGACAGUGCCUGGUGGGUAGUUUGACUGGGGCGGUCUCCUCCCAAAGCGUAACGGAGGAGCACGAAGGUGGGCUAAUCACGGUUGGACAUCGUGAGGUUAGUGCAAUGGCAUAAGCCCGCUUGACUGCGAGAAUGACAAUUCGAGCAGGUGCGAAAGCAGGUCAUAGUGAUCCGGUGGUUCUGAAUGGAAGGGCCAUCGCUCAACGGAUAAAAGGUACUCCGGGGAUAACAGGCUGAUACCGCCCAAGAGUUCAUAUCGACGGCGGUGUUUGGCACCUCGAUGUCGGCUCAUCACAUCCUGGGGCUGAAGUCGGUCCCAAGGGUAUGGCUGUUCGCCAUUUAAAGUGGUACGCGAGCUGGGUUUAGAACGUCGUGAGACAGUUCGGUCCCUAUCUGCCGUGGGCGUUGGAGAAUUGAAAGGGGCUGCUCCUAGUACGAGAGGACCGGAGUGGACGAACCUCUGGUGUUCGGGUUGUGUCGCCAGACGCAUUGCCCGGUAGCUAAGUUCGGGAUCGAUAACCGCUGAAAGCAUCUAAGCGGGAAGCGAGCCUUGAGAUGAGUUCUCCCUGAUACUUUAAGUAUCCUAAAGGGUUGUCGUAGACUACGACGUUGAUAGGCAGGGUGUGUAAGCGUUGUGAGGCGUUGAGCUAACCUGUACUAAUUGCCCGUGAGGCUUAACCAUACAACACCCAAGGGGUUU